AGAAUGAACGCUGGCGGCAGGCCUAACACAUGCAAGUCGAACGAAGUCUUCGGACUUAGCGGCGGACGGGUGAGUAACGCGUGGGAACAUACCCUUUGGUACGGAAUAGCCUCGGGAAACUGGGAGUAAUACCGUAUGUGCCCUUCGGGGGGAAAAGAUUUAUCGCCAAAGGAUUUGGCCCCGCGUUGGAUUAGGUAGUUGGUGGGGUAAUGGCCUACCAAGCCGACGAUCCAUAGCUGGUUUGAGAGGAUGAUCAGCCACACUGGGACUGAGACACGGCCCCAGACUCC
rnacentral:rRNA from 1 species